CUCAACUUUUGAGAAAAAUCUAUUCUUCAACUUUCCGAUUUACCAACAUCUUAUGUGGUCAAAUAGAUCCCGUCUGCGACCAUUCAAUCAUUUUCUUCUCCCGAGUCCUAUGUAUGCCACGGUGCAGUAAAAAAUUACGACCUCAAUCCGUCAACUCUUGCGGAGCACACUUCCCUAUAGAACUCUAAUUUUGCCCAAUCUAAUUAUUACAGAUUAGACAAGUAGGAAUAAGCAGAUCCCAAUAAAUAUCGAAAACUGAAUAAUAAAUAAUUGCUUAAAUUACACCCACAAAAAUUACAUCACAUUAUCUCAAAAACAUCCAGAUACAUCCAUAAUCACAUCACAGAGAUCUAGUCGAGUUCAUGAUCAUCUCCUAUGUAAUUAAUUAUACAAAAACUGCAACCGAUCUGUCUCGGAUCUCGAUUAAAUUUUUCGGAACUACACAAUAUGCUAUCUCGCAUUUUUACAUGACAAUAUUGUUGUAAUAAAACAACAAAUCAUAGUACAUGCAAAAUGACAAAAUGAGAACUAUCUAAUCGUAGAAAGAAUCCGAAAAAUUUGAUUGAACCGUACUGAUCUUUAAUAUUUUACAUAGAAAAUAAGAAUCGGCUCUGAUACCACUGUAAGAAAUUAAUCGGCACAUCAGAAAAACGCAGCGGAAAAUAAUUUUGCACUUUAAUUUUUCGGAAGCCAAAUGCAUAUCACAUAUGAAAACUAAAAACCAAUAAAUCAAACCGUUAUCGGCAGAUCAUUCUCAUGUUACUGUGUAAAAAUUUAAUCUAAACAAAACUCUUUAUGUUUAGAGAUCUUACCGUGCACCAGUUAAGGUCUCUUGAUCUGCUGUACGGUUGAAACUGAAUAUGACGAACAGAGGUUCCGAUUAGCUGCGAACAUGCUCGGCCUCUACGCGUAUCCACACGGAAUCGACGACCCAAUUGAUUUUCAUCUCACGAACC
rnacentral:lncRNA from 1 species